UACCUAGGCGCUUGUGAGAGAUGA
rnacentral:piRNA from 1 species